AUUGAACGCUGGCGGUAGGCUUAACACAUGCAAGUCGAGCGAGCGGCGGACGGGUGAGUAAUGUCUGGGAAACUGCCUGAUGGAGGGGGAUAACUACUGGAAACUGUAGCUAAUACCGCAUACCAUCAGAUGUUCCCAGAUUGGGUUGACUAGUAGGUGGGGUAAUGGCUCACCUAGGCGACGAUCCCUAGCUGGUCUGAGAGGAUUACCAGCCACACUGGGACUGAGACACUGUCAAGACUCCUACGGGAGGGAGCAGUGGGGAAUAUUGCACAAGGGGCGCAAGCCUGAUGCAGCCAUGCCGCGUGUGUGCAGAAGGCCUUCGGGUUGUAAAGCACUUUCAGCUAGGAGGCGGUACUCGCAGAAGAAGCACCGGCUAACUCCGUGCCAGCAGCCGCGGUAAUAC
rnacentral:rRNA from 1 species